rnacentral:SRP_RNA from 1 species
GCCGGGCAUGGUGACGUGUGCCUGUAGUCCCAGCUACUCGGGAGGCUGAGGUGGGAGGAUCACUUGAGCCUAGGAGUUCUGGGCUGUAGUACGCUAUGCCAAUUGGGUGUCCGCACUAAGUUCGGCAUCAAUGUGGUGACCUCACAGGGGUGGGGGACCACCAGAUUGCCUAAGGAGGGGUGAACCGGCCCAGGUCAGAAACAGAGCAGGUCAAAACUCCCGUGCUGAUCAGUAGUGGGAUUGCGCCUGUGAAUAGCCACUGCACUGCAGCCUGGGCAACACAGCGAGACCCCGUCUUA